rnacentral:rRNA from 1 species
GGAGGCAGCAGUAGGGAAUCUUCCACAAUGGGCGCAAGCCUGAUGGAGCAACACCGCGUGAGUGAAGAAGGGUUUCGGCUCGUAAAGCUCUGUUGUUAAAGAAGAACACGUAUGAGAGUAACGUGUUCAUACGUUGAGGUAUUUAACCAGAAAGUCA